rnacentral:rRNA from 1 species
AAUGGGGGCAACCCUGAUCCAGCCAUGCCGCGUGAGUGAUGAAGGCCUUAGGGUCGUAAAGCUCUUUCGCCUGUGAAGAUAACGACGGUAGCAGGUAAAGAAACCCCGGCUAACUCCGUGCCAGCAGCCGCGGUAAUACGGAGGGGGUUAGCGUUGUUCGGAAUUACUGGGCGUAAAGCGCACGUAGGCGGACUGGAAAGUUGGGGGUGAAAUCCCAGGGCUCAACCCUGGAACUGCCUCCAAAACUAUCAGUCUAGAGUUCGAGAGAGGUGAGUGGAAUUCCGAGUGUAGAGGUGAAAUUCGUAGAUAUUCGGAGGAACACCAGUGGCGAAGGCGGCUCACUGGCUCGAUACUGACGCUGAGGUGCGAAAGUGUGGGGAGCAAACAGGAUU